rnacentral:rRNA from 1 species
AACUAAUUUUAGCCUGAUCCUCCCACCUCACAACAAAACCAUAUUUUUAAACCAAAACAUUUACCACAACCAACAAUAGUAUAGGAGAUAGAAAUUAUAUUCAGCGCUAUAGAGGCAGUACCGCAAGGGAAAAAUGAAAGAAAUACUAAAAGUACAAAAAAGCAAAGCUAACCCCUUGUACCUUUUGCAUAAUGAUUUAACUAGAAUAUUCUGACAAAAAGAAUUUCAGCCAAAGAACCCGAAACUAGGCGAGCUACUCAUAAACAGCUAUAUAAGAGCACACUCAUCUAUGUGGCAAAAUAGUGAGAAGAUUUACGAGUAGAGGUGAAAAGCCUACCGAGCCCGGUGAUAGCUGGUUAUCCAGAAAAGAAUUUCAGUUCAACUUUAAAUUAACCUAAAGCAACAUCACAAGCCCUAUGUUAAUUUAAAUGUAAUUCUAAAGAGGGACAGCUCUUUAGACCAGGCCACAACCUUCAGUACAGAGUAAUAAACUUCAAUACCAUAGUUGGCCUAAAAGCAGCCACCAAUUAAGAAAGCGUUUAAGCUCAACACAUAAUAUUAACUAAAUUUCAUAAACCUAAAUACACCUCCUACUAAUUUACUGGAUCAAUCUAUUAUUUAAUAGAAGCAAUACUGUUAAUAUGAGUAACAAGAAUUUUUAAUUCUCCUUGCACAAGCUUAUACCAAACCGAAUGCCCGCUGGUAAUUAACGGCAAGAUAAAGCCAAUCACCCCAUAGACCCCUUAUCUAAGACAACCGUUAACCCAACACAGGUGUGCAUAAAGGAAAGAUCUAAAGAAGUAAAAGGAACUCGGCAAAACUUCAACCCCGCCUGUUUACCAAAAACAUCACCUCCAGCCUACACAAUAUUGGAGGCACUGCCUGCCCAGUGACAUGCGUUCAACGGCCGCGGUAUCCUGACCGUGCAAAGGUAGCAUAAUCACUUGUUCUUUAAUUAAGGACUUGAAUGAAUGGCUUCACGAGGGUUUAACUGUCUCUUACUUCCAAUCAGUGAAAUUGACCUCCCCGUGAAGAGGCGGGGAUACUAUAAUAAGACGAGAAGACCCUAUGGAGCUUAAAUAAAUUAACUCAAAUAAAUUUCUAAUAAUCUAUAAUAGACAUAAAUUCUAAUAGCUCAUGAGUUAAAUAUUUCGGUUGGGGUGACCUCGGAGCAUAACUCAACCUCCGAACAAUUCUUAACCUAGACAUAACCAGUCAAAGUAAACUAAAAUACAAAUUGACCCAAGCUAACUUGAUCAAUGGAACAAGUUACCCUAGGGAUAACAGCGCAAUCCUAUUUCAGAGUCCUUAUCGACAAUAGGGUUUACGACCUCGAUGUUGGAUCAAGACACCCUAAUGGUGCAGCCGCUAUUAACGGUCCGUUUGUUCAACGGUUAAAGUCUUACGUGAUCUGAGUUCAGACCGGAGUAAUCCAGGUCGGUUUCUAUCUAUUUAACUUUUCUCCCAGUACGAAAGGACAAGAGAAUAAAGGACCAACUCAAACUUAGUGUCCUCAGCAUAAUAGAUGAAACUAACUUAAUCUAAUAUGCUAACUUACGCCCUGCCCAAAACCAGGGUUU